GUUGUGAUGGCUGAGAGGUUAAGGUGUUGGACUAGAAAUCCAAUGGGAUGUUUGCGUGCAGGUUCGAUCCCCGCUCACAGCA